rnacentral:rRNA from 1 species
GACGAACGCUGGCGGUGUGCUUCACACAUGCAAGUCGAACGAGGUAGCAAUACCUAGUGGCGGACGGGUGAGUAACGCGUGGGAAUCUGCCUUUAGAUGGGGGAUAACGGGUCGAAAGACUCGCUAAUACCGCAUAUGACGAAAGUUGAAAGGAGUAAUCCGUCUAAAGAUGAGCCCGCGUCGAUUAGCUAGUUGGUAGAGUAAAAGCCCACCAAGGCGACGAUCGGUAGCUGGUCUGAGAGGAUGAUCAGCCACAAUGGGACUAGAGACACGGCCCAUACUCCUAC